rnacentral:rRNA from 1 species
GGUUAAGUGAAUAAGCGUACACGGUGGAUGCCUUGGCAGUCAGAGGCGAUGAAGGACGUACUAACCUGCGAAAAGCUGUGGGAAGCCGGUAAGAGGCGUUAGACCCGCAGAUGUCCGAAUGGGGAAACCCAGUGAGUUUACUCACUAUCCCAACAUGAAUACAUAGUGUUGGGAGGCAAACCGGGAGAACUGAAACAUCUAAGUACCCCGAGGAAAAGAAAUCAACCGAGAUUCCGUUAGUAGCGGCGAGCGAACGCGGAGUAGCCCUUAAGCUAUAUUAGUGUUAGUGGAAUACUCUGGAAAGGGUAGCGAUACAGGGUGAUAGCCCCGUACACGACAAUGUUUUUAUAGUGAAAACGAGUAGGACGGGACACGUGGUAUCCUGUUUGAACAUGGGGGGACCAUCCUCCAAGGCUAAAUACUCCUGACUGACCGAUAGUGAACCAGUACCGUGAGGGAAAGGCGAAAAGAACCCCUGUAAGGGGAGUGAAAUAGAACCUGAAACCGUGUACGUACAAGCAGUGGGAGCACCUUCGUGGUGUGACUGCGUACCUUUUGUAUAAUGGGUCAGCGACUUACAUUCUGUAGCGAGGUUAACCGAAUAGGGGAGCCGUAGGGAAACCGAGUCUUAACUGGGCGAAUAGUUGCAGGGUGUAGACCCGAAACCGGGCGAUCUAUCCAUGAGCAGGUUGAAGGUUGGGUAACACUAACUGGAGGACCGAACCCACAUCUGUUGAAAAAGAUGGGGAUGACUUGUGGAUCGGAGUGAAAGGCUAAUCAAGCUCGGAGAUAUCUGGUUCUCCUCGAAAGCUAUUUAGGUAGCGCCUCGAGCGAAUACCAUUGGGGGUAGAGCACUGUUUGGGCUAGGGGGUCAUCCCGACUUACCAACCCCAUGCAAACUCCGAAUACCAAUGAGUACUACUCGGGAGACACACGGCGGGUGCUAACGUCCGUCGUGAAAAGGGAAACAACCCAGACCGCCAGCUAAGGUCCCAAAGUAAUGAUUAAGUGGAAAACGAUGUGGGAAGGCAUAGACAGCUAGGAGGUUGGCUUAGAAGCAGCCAC